AUGUUUUUCUUCUACUGCACACAGACUCACGAACGCACUCAAGCACACGCACACAGAGUAAUGUACACACUGAUAUAUUCAUACUGCGUGGCUGUCAUUCACAGUCCAGACUCCCUACGGUCUGCAGAAUCCCUCCCCGUCUUGAAGAAACACCUGAAGACCUCUACUGAGAACACCUCAGGCACCUACCAAAUCUUCUCUUCCUGGUCUCCCUCCGGUCCAAAGACGUGUCCCCAGGUUCCUCAGAGAGUCCAGGGUCCGGUUCAGAGAUGGUAGCCAUGGUUCCUCCCUGACAGCUUCAGAUACGUCUGCUCUCAGGAGUCGGCUCUGCUAUAUCAGCUGGAAAAAACACGUCGCAUGUUUUAAUUCUGAGCAGUCGUCAGCCUGCAAUCUGAUAUCAUCAGUGUCAGGAAGUGACAGUGGUGACACUCUUAUCAGAGUGAAGACACUCUUAUCAGAUGUCUUCAGUUGACACACAGACUCACGGACGCAUGCAAACACAAACAAGAUUAUUUUUAAUAUAAAGACACAACAUACAUAGGUAUCAGAGACGUGUAGUGAGGUCCGUGGCUGGUGAGGCACUGACCUUUUCAGAGUCAGAUUUACAAAUAUAUGAACCCAAUUGUUAUAUAGUAGAAAAGGCGAUUUCUCGUAGCACAGCCACACAGCCAGUCUUUCGGCGGUACCACUCUGUUUGAAAAGACCGCGUUACUUUCUGUCCCGUUGUUUGAAGCAACCCGUUACACAGGCAGAGAGGAGGGCACUCCAAAGGGUCAUAAAGACGGCCGAAAGGAUUACUGGGACCACACUUCCCUCCAUGGACUUUAUUUACAGUCAGCGCUGUCGGAAAAGGGCAGUGAGAAUCAUCAGAGACUCCCUCCACCCAGCUCACCCUCUACUCAAUGACUAACAUUGUAAAUACAGACUCAGACACAGUAGAGCGGACAGUGUCAUCACACACACAACAAGAUUCUUCAAUAGCUUCUUCCCUGCAACAGUGCGACUGAUGGCAUUAACAGAGAACAUCUGAAAAAUACAAUG
ensembl:lncRNA